rnacentral:rRNA from 1 species
AUCCCGCGUGUGCGAUGAAGGCCUUCGGGUUGUAAAGCACGUUUUGUCAGGGAAGAAAAAGGUUCUGGCUAAUAUCCGGAACUGAUGACGGUACCUGAAGAAUAAGCACCGGCUAACUACGUGCCAGCAGCCGCGGUAAUACGUAGGGUGCAAGCGUUAAUCGGAAUUACUGGGCGUAAAGCGUGCGCAGGCGGUUCGGAAAGAAGGAUGUGAAAUCCCAGGGCUCAACCUUGGAACUGCAUUCUUAACUACCGGACUAGAGUAUGUCAGACGGGGGGGUAGAAUUCCGCGUGUAGCAGUGAAAUGCGUAGAUAUGCGGAGGAAUACCGAUGGCGAAGGCAGACCCCCUGGGAUAAUACUGACGCUCAUGCACGAAAGCGUGGGUAGCAAACAGGAUUAGAUACCCUGGUAGUCCACGCCCUAAACGAUGUCAACUAGCUGUUGGGCCCUUCGGGGCUUAGUAGCGUAGCUAACGCGUGAAGUUGACCGCCUGGGGAGUACGGUCGCAAGAUUAAAACUCAAAGGAAUUGACGGGGACCCGCACAAGCGGUGGAUGAUGUGGAUUAAUUCGAUGCAACGCGAAAAACCUUACCUACCCUUGACAUGUCUGGAAUCCUUUAGAGAUAGAGGAGUGCUCGCAAGAGAACCGGAACACAGGUGCUGCAUGGCUGUCGUCAGCUCGUGUCGUGAGAUGUUGGGUUAAGU